rnacentral:rRNA from 1 species
UACGGGGGGGGCAAGCGUUGUUCGGAAUUACUGGGCGUAAAGGGCUCGUAGGCGGCCAACUAAGUCGGACGUGAAAUCCCUCGGCUUAACCGGGGAACUGCGUCCGAUACUGGAUGGCUUGAGGUUGGGAGAGGGAUGCGGAAUUCCAGGUGUAGCGGUGAAAUGCGUAGAUAUCUGGAGGAACACCGGUGGCGAAGGCGGCAUCCUGGACCAAUUCUGACGGUGAGUGAGCGAAAGCCAGGGGAGCAAACGGG